rnacentral:rRNA from 1 species
UACGGGGGGGGCAAGCGUUGUUCGGAAUUACUGGGCGUAAAGGGCGCGUAGGCGGCUCGCUAAGUUGGAUGUGAAAACUCUGGGCUUAACCCAGAGCCUGCAUUCAAAACUGACGGGCUAGAGUUCUGGAGGGGAUAGCGGAAUUCCUGGUGUAGCAGUGAAAUGCGUAGAUAUCAGGAGGAACACCGGUGGCGAAGGCGGCUAUCUGGACAGAAACUGACGCUGAUGCGCGAAAGCUAGGGGAGCAAACAGG